rnacentral:rRNA from 1 species
CGACGGGUGAGUAACACGUAUGCAAUCCACCUGUAACAGGGGGAUAACCCGGAGAAAUCCGGACUAAUACCCCAUAAUAUGGGCGCUCCGCAUGGAGAGUCCAUUAAAGAGAGCAAUCUUGGUUACAGACGAGCAUGCGCUCCAUUAGCCAGUUGGCGGGGUAACGGCCCACCAAGGCGACGAUGGAUAGGGGUUCUGAGAGGAAGGUCCCCCACAUUGGAACUGAGACACGGCCCAA